UUUUAUGUGAUGCAUUCCAUUGUGAUGCUUGUGCUUAUUCUGGUUCGAGCUAUUUUAUAUUGUUUGAAUUGAAGUAACAUUUUCCUGUUGUAGCUUAAGAUGAAUAUAUCCCAUGCGGACAAUUUCUCUUGUUUUGGGUAGUUCUGUGAACAGAUAGUAUUUAUUUGUUAUGUGUAUAUUAGUUGGUACUUGGUAGAUUAGAGAGGGACUUGAUACAUAUUUAGAAGAUCUCACUAGUUGAUUUCACACGUUUUGAAAUAGUCUUUACAAGCUAAAUCUUUUUCAAUUCCUUCAUUGAAGAUUGCUUUGACUUGUUUGCAAAUUGCAAUCUUUCUGUAUAUCUAUAGGACAAGUAGAAAGUGGGAUAAGUUAUAGUUGAUUAUUUGGAGGGAAAUCCUUGGCCCUUCUAGUGUGAUAAAUUUAACUGUGCACAGUCCAUUA
rnacentral:lncRNA from 1 species